rnacentral:rRNA from 1 species
UACGUAGGGAGCAAGCGUUGUCCGGAAUCAUUGGGCGUAAAGCGCGUGUAGGCGGCCCGGUAAGUCCGCUGUGAAAGUCGGGGGCUCAACCCUCGAAUGCCGGUGGAUACUGUCGGGCUAGAGUGCGGGAGAGGCGAGUGGAAUUCCUGGUGUAGCGGUGAAACGAGCAGAUAUCAGGAGGAACACCAAUGGCGAAGGCAGCUCGCUGGGACGUGACUGACGCUGAGACGCGAAAGCGUGGGGAGCAAACAGG